UGAACCUGCUGCCGGAUCAUUAUCGAU
rnacentral:rRNA from 1 species